rnacentral:tRNA from 1 species
GCGGGUGUAGCUCAGUUGGUUAGAGUGUCGGCCUGUCACGCCGAAGGUCGCGGGUUCGAGCCCCGUCGCUCCCGCCA